AACCCUCGCUGUGUGUUAUAUGUGUCACACGGGACUGCCGGUCGUUAAGCCGGAGGAAGGUGGGAUGAUGUCAAGUCAGCAUGGCCUUUAUAUCCUGGGCUACACACACGCUACAAUGGCCAACACAAUAGGUUGCUAAGCCGCGAGGUGGCGCCAAUCCAUAAAGUUGGUCUCAGUUCAGAUUGUAGGCUGCAACCCGCCUGCAUGAAGAUGGAGUUGCUAGUAACCGCAGGUCAGCUAUACUGCGGUGAAUACGUUCCCGGGGCUU
rnacentral:rRNA from 1 species